rnacentral:sRNA from 1 species
UGAUACCAGGGUCAAAAGGUCGAAAAACCGACGCAAGCUUGCUUGCAGGAGGCUUUUUGAACUUGGGACCCGCCAAAAACAUGAGUAAGAAGCCAUUUUUUGAAGAAAAAUGAGCGGAUUACGAAUGUUUUAAGGAUUGCGAGAGUGCAUAGCACGUAGCAAUCCGGUAUCA